AUUGCUCCAGAUAUCCACCGCCUUCUUCUUACCCCUUCUUCCCAAUCGUCUUAAUCUCUUCCCGAUUCUUCCACCGCCAUAUGUCCUCCUCCGAGAGGAGGUAUUUCUUCCAUACCCACUGAUUAUUCAAGACGAGAUCGAUGGAGACGACGAUGAUGAUUUGGAUUUUAGGUGCGUUGCCAUAGGGUUACCACAUGAGUUCAACACGUUCUGUUGUGGCUCUGCCAUCGCAUCUUCUACAGUUGGUUAGCUUUCUUUUCCAAAACCCUAUCCCUGUUUAUUAAUAAGACGAUUUAUAUGUACAUUCCUAUUGUCUCCUUAGCGAUUUCACGUAUAGUGAAAUAAUCUGGUAUGAUGUUUUCCCCAAAUUAUCUCACCAUUCUGAGUUUUAUUUAGAACCUAUAACCUCAUGUUCCAUUUUUUGAUUUGAUGUUAAUGUUUUCAGAGGUGGAAAUGAGCUAGAUAGGAAGUGGUUGUUUUGGUUUUAACUUAUAAUGUUUUUUGUUUUAAGUUUUAAACACCAUCAAAAUUGAUUUUUAUCACUUUUUUGUCCUUUGAAUGUUUUGAUUCAAUUGCUUAUUCUUCAAAACAUAAAAACUCUAUGGAUGAUAUCGAUGUUUAUAAACUUUGACGAAACUCUUAUGUGUUAUAUUUCCAGGUGCUUAUGAGAUAAAAGAUGGAGCUACUGGAAAUACGGAAUGCAAUGUUUAAAAGGGGUUGAUCAAUCGGUGUAUUUUACACGCCUGCGACAGUUGGCACUUGAUUUCACUUUAAAACUUAUAAUCAAUCCUUGUGAAGAACAAGUUGUAUCAAGAGAGACAGAAAAAAAUAGUAAAAACACACCAACUAGAGAGGUGAUUGGCUUUAGUAAACACGUUUUGUGUUUUUAUUCCAGCUGCAUGAAUUUAUAAUUCAUCCAUUCCCAAUAAAUGUUUCUUUUUUAUAGGGAUUGUUAUUGGAAUAAUAAGUUUCUUGGUAUACUUCUAUAAAAAAUGUUGACCAACGGUUCAUGUAAUUGAUGUUUUUUUACUUUAUGAUUUAAAUGUAAUGUCCCCUUUUAGUAUAUGAUUUAUAUGGAUGUUUUUUUCUCAUUUAUGGUCCAAGUUUUGACCAUUAACCCUUGGUGUCACUUUAAUGCUAAAAAAAACAAAACUCCUCCAUGAGUCACUUCCCUAGUUAUUUAUAAAGUUAUUAUUAUAAAAAAUGUAAUACGUAUUUGUUAAAAACUAAUUAAUCAAAAUGGUAUUAUUGACGAUCUACAUAAAUUGUAAAAACAUAGUACAUUUUGAAAUAUAAUUUUUUUUAUGUAAAAAAAAUGAUAUAUAGCUAAUAUGAAUAACUAUUUCCUCUAAUUUUAUUUACACAAUUUAAAACUUUAUAAGGAUUAUUUUCAUAACAUUUUUUAUCUUCCACAUCAAUGUUACAUUUAUUUGUCUCUCCUCCGACUUCGUCCCUAACCCAAUUUUCAGCCAUGAAAUUGAGAAUUCAUCGAUUAAAAUUGCUACAUUCAAGGAAUUCUCUCAUUUGAUGGAUUGCACUUUGCACAAUAAAAUGUGUAUAUACAAUGUACAAGGGGGUCAAAAGAG
rnacentral:lncRNA from 1 species